UCUCUCUCUCUCUCUCUUUCUCUCUCUCUCUCUUCCAAAGCCCUAGAUUUGAAGCUCUCUCGCUUAGUUUCAAACAAUAAUCCCAUCUCGAUUUGAUCUCACUUUCUCGUUCGCUCGAUUGCAGAUUUUGCAUUGUAUAUUCAUCGAACUCUCUAGCUGUUCUUCUUUGAUCUGUCGCUCGAGGACUUUACUCUAGCUAUUCUUCAUCGAACUCGAACUCAAACUCAAUCUGUUCUUCAUCAAAUCGCAAAUCCAAAAUCGAUAUCAUUCUUGAACCAGAUCGAUCUCUGUUGCUCUUAUCUCAGGUCAAAUCAAAUCGUUGAACCAGAUUGAUCUCUCUUGCUCUUCAUCUCAGGCUUUGACAUUGAUAGGGAAGUAAGAAGGGAUUAAAGGGUAUUGGAAAGGCAACCUUCCACAGGUGAUACGCAUCAUACCUUAUAGUGCAGUCCAGUUGUUUGCUUAUGAAAUCUACAAGGGGGAAGGAUGGCCUCUCAACGGACCAUGGGCGGGCCUGUUGCACCAGCUGCUACACAUGUGCAUUCACAACAACAAUCCCAUGCAUAUACCUCAUCGUUUAAUUGCCAUCAUUUGUCCGAGGAAGUUCAUAUAUCAAAGAAAGAAAAUAAGAAGAAGAAGAAGAAGUAGAUAUAUAUGACAAACUCAAUGAAAGAAGGACGAUGGAGUCUACUGAAUUCAAGGCCAAUGAAGAGGCAGAGCUCCCUGAGUACAUUCUUGGAACUAUUCGACUGAAUCGUGUAAAGCUCAACUCUGUUGUACCUUUUGAAGUUUGAAAUAUUUUGAUAUUUACAAAAAUAAUUGGCAUUAUUGUAACUGGGUGCAUUCCAAUGAUUUCCAGAUUCUGGUGUGGAUUAUUGUUCUUAUAAUUUGGACAAGACAUUGAAAAUUCAUUAAUAGAUCACCCAACAUUGGUUCC